rnacentral:rRNA from 1 species
GGCGAGCUUCGCUCCCGGAUGUUAGCGGCGGACGGGUGAGUAACACGUGGGUAACCUGCCUGUAAGACUGGGAUAACUCCGGGAAACCGGAGCUAAUACCGGAUAGUUCCUUGAACCGCAUGGUUCAAGGAUGAAAGACGGUUUCGGCUGUCACUUACAGAUGGACCCGCGGCGCAUUAGCUAGUUGGUGAGGUAACGGCUCACCAAGGCGACGAUGCGUAGCCGACCUGAGAGGGUGAUCGGCCACACUGGGACUGAGACACGGCCCAGACUCCUACGGGAGGCAGCAGUAGGGAAUCUUCCGCAAUGGACGAAAGUCUGACGGAGCAACGCCGCGUGAGUGAUGAAGGUUUUCGGAUCGUAAAGCUCUGUUGUUAGGGAAGAACAAGUGCAAGAGUAACUGCUUGCACCUUGACGGUACCUAACCAGAAAGCCACGGCUAACUACGUGCCAGCAGCCGCGGUAAUACGUAGGUGGCAAGCGUUGUCCGGAAUUAUUGGGCGUAAAGGGCUCGCAGGCGGUUUCUUAAGUCUGAUGUGAAAGCCCCCGGCUCAACCGGGGAGGGUCAUUGGAAACUGGGAAACUUGAGUGCAGAAGAGGAGAGUGGAAUUCCACGUGUAGCGGUGAAAUGCGUAGAGAUGUGGAGGAACACCAGUGGCGAAGGCGACUCUCUGGUCUGUAACUGACGCUGAGGAGCGAAAGCGUGGGGAGCGAACAGGAUUAGAUACCCUGGUAGUCCACGCCGUAACGAUGAGUGCUAAGUGUUAGGGGGUUUCCGCC